GAUGAAGAACGCAGCGAAAUGCGAUAAGUAAUGUGAAUUGCAGAAUUCAGUGAAUCAUCAAAUCUUUGAACGCACAUUGCGCCCGCCAGUAUUCUGGCGGGCAUGCCUGUUCGAGCGUCAUUUCAACCAUCAAGCCCCAGGCUUGUGUUGGAGCCCUGCGGCUGCCGCAGCCUCCCAAAACCAGUGGCGGGCUCGCUAUCACACCGAGUGCAGUAGUUUACUCUUCGCUCAGGGCGUGUGGCGGGUGCUAGCCGUAAAACCCCCAACUUCUCAAGGUUGACCUCGGAUCAGGUAGGAAUACCCGCUGAACUUAAGCAUAUCAAAAGCGGAGGA
rnacentral:misc_RNA from 1 species